AAGAUAAACACUAACAGGCUCCUUGUUUCCUAAGCACCUACUUUGUGCCAGGUGCUGUGUGGCAUCUGACAGGCUUUGAGGUCAGUCCUCUUUAUGAUCCCUGUGUCACAAAGGUUCAGGGAAGCAGUGGGGCAAGGCCAGGGGAGCACAGAAGUCAGCGGGAUCUGAACAUGUCCCUGCCGCCUUCACAUCACCUCUGAUCACAUCUCCUCCGGUGAUGCUGGGGGUCUUGUCUCUGGGGUGACUGGGAAGUUGAGAGCUUCAGUUUUUCCUGACAGCUUUCCAGAAUCCGAUGGCCCCUCCAGUGUCCUGCACAGGUAGUUUUAGGCAAAUCAGUGUAGGAAGAGGUAUCUUCCCUACAAAGGCAACGAGCAACUCUGUGUCCCCCACCAG
rnacentral:lncRNA from 1 species